GCCCAGGCCGCUAUUUGCCAGGGGGAAAGACGGCGACUGAAGAGGUCCGAAAGGUGAAAACUUUCUGGAAAGUAGCGGAGACUCCGAAGCUGCCAUUCCCACACAGCUGUUCCUGUUUUCUUCCAGGUGCUGUUUUCUAGAUCUUCUGACCCUGGAUCACUGUGGUCUAGAACUGAAGAAGUAUGGUUUCUUAAGAUGGAACGUGAUUCCCAGAACUUAAUGCGAUAAUGGAAUUGGCGCAUAAUCACUGUGGACGACAGCAGAAGAAUUGUGGUAAGGCUUCCCUUAUCCUUCC